rnacentral:rRNA from 1 species
CAGCAGCCACGGGAAUACGAAGGGGGCUAGCAUUGUUCGGAAUUACUGGGCGUAAAGCGCACGCAGGCGGCUCGAUAAAUUAGAAGUGAAAGCCUUGGGCUUAACCUGAGAAUUGCUUUUAAGACUGUCGAGCUAGAAUCCAGAAGAGGGUAGUGGAAUUCCGAGUGUAGAGGUGAAAUUCGUAGAUAUUCGGAAGAACACCAGUGGCGAAGGCGACUACCUGGUCUGGCAUUGACGCUCUUGUGCGAAAGCGUGGGGAGCAAACAGGAUUAGAGACCCCUGUAGUCCCUGUCUCUUAUAC